rnacentral:rRNA from 1 species
AUGAACGCUGGCGGCGUGCCUAAUACAUGCAAGUCGAGCGAACAGACGAGGAGCUUGCUCCUCUGACGUUAGCGUCGGACGGGUGAGUAACACGUGGAUAACCUACCUAUAAGACUGGGAUAACUUCGGGAAACCGGAGCUAAUACCGGAUAAUAUAUUGAACCGCAUGGUUCAAUAGUGAAAGACGGUUUUGCUGUCACUUAUAGAUGGAUCCGCGCCGCAUUAGCUAGUUGGUAAGGUAACGGCUUACCAAGGCAACGAUGCGUAGCCGACCUGAGAGGGUGAUCGGCCACACUGGAACUGAGACACGGUCCAGACUCCUACGGGAGGCAGCAGUAGGGAAUCUUCCGCAAUGGGCGAAAGCCUGACGGAGCAACGCCGCGUGAGUGAUGAAGGUCUUCGGAUCGUAAAACUCUGUUAUUAGGGAAGAACAAAUGUGUAAGUAACUAUGCACGUCUUGACGGUACCUAAUCAGAAAGCCACGGCUAACUACGUG